rnacentral:rRNA from 1 species
CAAUAGCGUAUAUUAAAGUUGUUGCAGUUAAAAAGCUCGUAGUUGGAUUUGUGGCGUACGGUGUGUUCCGGGCACUUGUUGUCUGAGUAACCUGCUGUUGCCAUCCUUGGGUGGAACCUGUGUAGCAUUAGGUUGUCGUGCAGGGGAUGCCCAUCAUUUACUGUGAAAAAAUUAGAGUGUUCAAAGCAGGCUUAUGCCGUUGAAUAUAUUAGCAUGGAAUAAUGAGAUAGGACUUUUUUGCUAUUUUGUUGGUUUGCGCAAAGAGGUAAUGAUUAAUAGGGACAGUUGGGGGUAUUCGUAUUCCAUUGUCAGAGGUGAAAUUCUUGGAUUUUUGGAAGACGAACUACUGCGAAAGCAUUUACCAAGGAUGUUUUCAUUAA